CAGACUCACAGCAGACACUGUCCCCUUUUGCAGUGGGCUGUCACGCCUGAGUCUGCUCUGAUGAAGGGACUGCUCUAUCUCACUGCGUGCCAGGCCCGGCAGAGGCACUCACAACUUCGUCCCCUCACUUUGUACUUAAAGCCUCCGAAUGAGUUACCAUGGAAAGGGCUCAACCGCAGCCUCCAGGCCACCGGCGACUUCUUAAAUGCCCAGACAGCCCCCAGCCCUGCAGCUCUGCUCAUGCCCGCAAGGAAAAGAGCAAUUCAACCCCUACACACCGCAGGGCAAUCGUGACCAAGGUAAGCCGAGAACCCCUGAGAGGUGGCUGCCACUGGGUAGCCUCCAGCCUCCUAGAGCAAGUCCUGGGCCACGCAGCUGUCCUGCAGGGAGCCCUCCCGGGGGCCACGACUCCUACACAAGCCCAGAGCCACAGCCGCAUCUGGAGACUGAGCCAGAAGGCCCAGGUCAGAGCCCAGGGCUCCCAGGUCUGGGCCAGUCUGCAGGGGCCAGAGGUUGCCACACAAGGCCACGGUCCAGGCAUGCAAGGACAGGACCCACCCUGUGCAGACCAGGCCCCUGCACUUGACCAACAGAAGGGAAGAGGGUCAGAUGUCACCGUGUGACAGCAUCUACUCCACCCACAACAUCCCCACCAGGGACAAGGAGCCCAGCCCUCUCCUGAGGUCCUCCCAGCUAUGGCCCAGGUACGACCAAGGGGGAGGUGGGAUGCAGCACGCAGGACCCCAUCAGGCUAAGGCAUCGGCAAGGAUGGCUGCCCGGGGGUUAAUGCUCAGGUACCUGCCUCCUAGGCAGACGCCUUGGAAACCAGUAUCCAAAAGGCCCCCAGGGGCCCAGGGCCCUGUGAAGUUCCCGCCCAGCAUGUCCACAGCUGGCCUGCCAGGCUCCGAAGGCGCAGGCCAGUGGGGGCUGCUCCCUUGCCCACACCCAGCAGACAGAGGAGGAAAAUACAAGUGAUGGGGGUCUACAGACGCAGCAGCAAGACCCCAUUCCCCCUGUCUCCAAGCUCUGCCCACCACACGGGGAGGUUUGCUGGGCUGAAUGUAUUUCAGAAAGAACUCAGCAUGGGACGCCUACUUACGCCUCCCCUGUGCCGGCCAGGGCACGGCGGUGGACGAAGAGAAGCACAGAUGUGCCCAGCGCAGCCCAUUCCUGCUAGGCUUCAGCCCUGGCUCCAGGGAGCACCCAGGACACCGCACACGGUCCCAGGGCGGCUGUCACCACUCUGGGGACCGAGGCCCAGCACACAGCCACUGUCACCACCCAUCUCAUAUCCGUCUGUGCCCCUCUUUUGCUCUGGCUCACACCCGAGCACAGAAGCCUGCGUGGUGGGAGACCCAGAUUUCCUAAACCCUGCCUCGGGGCGAUGGGCCACUGGAUCCUGUACCGCUGCAGGCUGACACUCGGGGGGGCAGCAGCGACGACCCCUCCCAGCCCAGCGCAUGCUGCCCAGACCUGCACGAGCUCCGAGGGAGGCGUUUUCACUGCAGGCCAGAGGACAGGGAAGGCCAGUUCUGUUGGUCUGGGCUCUCGAUGGCCACAGCUUUGCCUCCGGACACCCCCUUCUGCCACAGACACCACAUGGCUUCCAAGAGGCCCCCACUUCUCCGACACUCCGAAGCUGACAGUGGCGCUCCCAAAGGGGU